GUGACAAUAACUUUCCUUUUAACCUGCUUAUCACUACGAUUACCUUUUAGUGCACGAGAAUUGCUUGUUGAUUCAAAAAGUGAUCCUCCUCCUGAACAAGCUCAAGAGACCAGUUUAUGGGAAAGGCUUGGUAAAGCUGCUGUGUUGGACAUUGAGUCUAGCUCAUUUUCCUGGGACAUGCUUUCUUCACUUCACCACACUGAGCAUAGUAGUAGCGCC
rnacentral:misc_RNA from 1 species